AUGGAUUAACGCAAUUCCUAUCAACAAGAACACAAUAAGUUAUGGCCUUUUAAUUUGAAGUUGAUUAGAAAGUGAAAUUAGCCUAACAGCCUUACCAAAAGAUGACCAUCACCUCAAGUAUGACCCCACCUGUAUUGGAAUUGACCCUACUACUACUGCUUGAAGUUAUGCUAUGCCUAAUAGUGGCAAAAGUUAUACAGUUUAUAAAGUAUAUAAUGUAUGAUAUUGGUGUUUGAUUCACUAAUGCCUAGUAAUGGCAAAAGUUAUACAAUUUAUAAAGUAAAUAAUGUAUGAUAUUGGUGUUUGGUUCACUAGUCCUCUUUGGCUCUGGUGGUGGCUUUCAAGAUUCUUGAAACCAGAGGUCUAGGGUUCAAGGACUAGUGGAAAACCAGCUACAGAGGAAAGAUACUAGAUGAGUGCAAGUUCUGUGGCAGGGAGGGUACUAUUACAAUGAUACCAAAAUCUGGCCGCUAUCUAACAGGUGAUGACUGUGAAGCUGGAAAGUUUGUCCGUUUGAUGAGCUUUGACUGCCGGGGUUUGGAGCCAGUGGACUACUCCUUUGGUGGUGACAAGGAGGAGUGGGAGAAAUUAUCUGAUGACAAGUAGGAGCAUGAGAAAUUAUCUGAUGACAAGGAGCCCGGAGAAGGAGAAGUUAUCUGAUGAUAGUUACCUUACUUUUGUAAAUAGUGACAUCUAUAAAAAUGUGGUCAAUGUUGUCAAAAUUUAUAUAAUUACCUUAUUUUUAUA